GUGAGGAAUAUUGGUCAAUGGGCGGGAGCCUGAACCAGCCAAGUCGCGUGAAGGAAGAAGGAUCUAUGGUUCGUAAACUUCUUUUGCAGGGGAAUAAAGUGCAGGACGUGUCCUGUUUUGUAUGUACCCUGAGAAUAAGGAUCGGCUAACUCCGUGCCAGCAGCCGCGGUAAUACGGAGGAUCCGAGCGUUAUCCGGAUUUAUUGGGUUUAAAGGGUGCGUAGGUGGUUUGAUAAGUCAGCGGUGAAAGUUUGCAGCUUAACUGUAAAAAUGCCGUUGAAACUGUCGGACUUGAGUGUAAAUGAGGUAGGCGGAAUGCGUGGUGUAGCUGUGAAAUGCAUAGAUAUCACGCAGAACUCCGAUUGCGAAGGCAGCUUACUAAGCUACAACUGACACUGAAGCACGAAAGCGUGGGGAUCAAACAGGAUUAGAUACCCUAGUAGUCC
rnacentral:rRNA from 1 species